CUCUUCAGUUUAUUUGCAGGAAAUGAAUGGAUUAAUUUUGGUGCAAGCCAAGUUACAGAUAUAGCCCUCAAGGAUCAACCUGGGCUUCCGUGUUUUGCUCAAAGAGGAUCCUGCGCGUAUACAUCUUGCUCAAUGGUGAUGGUGGUUGGACCACUGUGGGGUUUGGAACCUACAACCUUUAAGCUUACCUUCAAGCAUAGGUCAUUUGCACUGCACAAUAUGAGUCUGUGUGGGUUUAGGGUGGAGGACAGUUUACUCAUGUCAACAUAAAGCGGACACACCAGCAGAUAGAGCUCCUUGGCAGAUGUCUGUCCGCUUGGCGCCAUCCACAAUGAACUCAGGGCUUGAGCAGAGCUCCUUAAAAAGGGACAAUGUGAGAACAAUUAGAGGUGAUAGUGUUACGUUAUGUAAAGGUACAACUAAA